AGUGAACGCUGGCGGUAGGCCUAACACAUCCAAGUCGAACGGCAGCACAGUAAGAGCUUGCUCUUACGGGUGGCGAGUGGCGGACGGGUGAGGAAUAACUCGGAAUCUACUUUUUCGUGGGGGAUAACGUAGGGAAACUUACGCUAAUACCGCAUACGACCUACGGGUGAAAGCAGGGGAUCUUCGGACCUUGCGCGAUUCAAUGAGCCGAUGUCGGAUUAGCUAGUUGGCGGGGUAAAGGCCCACCAAGGCGACGAUCCGUAGCUGGUCUGAGAGGAUGAUCAGCCACACUGGAACUGAGACACGGUCCAGACUCCUACGGGAGGCAGCAGUGGGGAAUAUUGGACAAUGGGCGCAAGCCUGAUCCAGCCAUACCGCGUGGGUGAAGAAGGCCUUCGGGUUGUAAAGCCCUUUUGUUGGGAAAGAAAAGCAGCAGGUUAAUACCCCGCUGUUCUGACGGUACCCAAAGAAUAAGCACCGGCUAACUUCGUG
rnacentral:rRNA from 1 species